rnacentral:rRNA from 1 species
AACGAACGCUGGCGGCGCGCCUAAUACAUGCAAGUCGAGCGAGAAGACGUACGCGAAUACGUUUGUAAGCGGCGAACGGGUGAGGAAUACAUGGGUAACCUACCCUCGAGUGGGGAAUAACUAGCCGAAGGUUAGCUAAUACCGCGUACGCUCCUUGGACUUCGGUUCAGGGAGGAAAGCGAUACCGUGGGUAUCGCGGCUCUUGGAUGGGCUCAUGUCCUAUCAGCUUGUUGGUGAGGAACGGC